rnacentral:rRNA from 1 species
UACGUAGGGUGCAAGCGUUAAUCGGAAUUACUGGGCGUAAAGCGUGCGCAGGCGGUAAUGUAAGACAGAUGUGAAAUCCCCGGGCUUAACCUGGGACCUGCAUUUGUGACUGCAUUGCUGGAGUGCGGCAGAGGGGGAUGGAAUUCCGCGUGUAGCAGUGAAAUGCGUAGAUAUGCGGAGGAACACCGAUGGCGAAGGCAAUCCCCUGGGCCUGCACUGACGCUCAUGCACGAAAGCGUGGGGAGCAAACAGG